rnacentral:misc_RNA from 1 species
GAUGAAGAACGUAGCGAAAUGCGAUAAGUAGUGUGAAUUGCAGAAUUUAGUGAAUCAUCGAAUCUUUGAACGCACAUUGCGCCCUUUGGUAUUCCUUAGGGCAUGCCUGUUCGAGCGUCAUCUACACCCUCAAGCACAGCUUGGUGAUGUGCGCCUGUCCCGCCCCCCACGGGGGCGCGGACUCGCCUCAAAUGCAUUGGCGGCCGGCGACCUGGCUUCGAGCGCAGCAGAAACGCGUACUCGGGGACCGGGCGCCCGCUCCCAGAAGCCAACCCACCCAGUUUGACCUCGGAUCAGGUAGGGAUACCCGCUGAACUUAAGCAUAUCAAUAAGCGGAGGA